GGUCCCUGGGGAUAGCUUAGUUGGUAGAGCAUGAGACUUUUAAUAUUGUGGGUUCAAGCCCCACUUUGGCCA